rnacentral:rRNA from 1 species
GACGAACGCUGGCGGCGUGCCUAAUACAUGCAAGUAGAACGCACAGUUUAUGCCGUAGCUUGCUACACCAUAGACUGUGAGUUGCGAACGGGUGAGUAACGCGUAGGUAACCUGCCUGGUAGCGGGGGAUAACUAUUGGAAACGAUAGCUAAUACCGCAUAAUAUUAAUUAUUGCAUGAUAAUUAAUUGAAAGGUGCAAUUGCACCACUACCAGAUGGACCUGCGUUGUAUUAGCUAGUAGGUGAGGUAACGGCGCACCUAGGCGACGAUACAUAGCCGACCUGAGAGGGUGAGAGGCCACGCUGGGACGGGAGCACGGCCCAGCCUCCUACGGGAGGGAGCAGUAGGGGAUUCUCGGCAAUGGACGAAGGGCUGACUGAUGGACGCCGCGUGAGAGAAGAAUGCUGUCGGAUCGUGAAGCUCUGUUAGAAGAGAAGAUCGGGUGUGAGAGUGGAAAGUGCACACUGUGACGGUAUCUUACCAGAAAGGGACGGCUAACUACGUG